rnacentral:ribozyme from 13 species
AUUCAUGCAUCCAAUCAAGCCAUACAAACCCAACAUCAAAAAUCGAGAAGUGUACAAAACAUAUUCUUGUUCAGGGUAAUCUCCUCCAAGAAGCGCCGACGCCUCAUCUUUUCGAUUCAGCUCUUUCUCGCUCAUUUUUGUAAAAAAAGAAAGUAAAAGGGGAAAAAGGUCUCGAGAAUUGUCCAAAGAGAACAGAAAAGACAAUUCAAAUUCUCU